CCUACGGGAGGCAGCAGUGGGGAAUUUUCCGCAAUGGGCGCAAGCCUGACGGAGCAAGACCGCGUGAGGGAGGAAGGCUCUUGGGUUGUAAACCUCUUUUAUCUGGGAAGAAGAUCUGACGGUACCUGAUGAAUCAGCAUCGGCUAACUCCGUGCCAGCAGCCGCGGUAAUACGGAGGAUGCAAGCGUUAUCCGGAUUUAUUGGGCGUAAAGCGUCCGCAGGUGGUUAUUCAAGUCUGCUGUUAAAGCGCGAGGCUUAACUUCGUACAGGCAGUGGAAACUGGAUGACUGGAGUAUGGUAGGGGUAGCGGGAAUUCCCAGUGUAGCGGUGAAAUGCGUAGAUAUUGGGAAGAACACCAGCGGCGAAAGCGCGCUACUGGGCCAUUACUGACACUCGUGGACGAAAGCUAGGGGAGCGAAAGGGAUUAGAUACCCCUGUAGUCCUAGCUGUAAACGAUGGGUACUAGGUGUUGACCGUAUCGACCCGGUCAGUGCCGUAGCUAACGCGUUAAGUACCCCGCCUGGGGAGUAUGCACGCAGUGUGAACUACAAAUAGAAUUAGACGGCGUGAGACGUGCCGAACGGACGACGACGAGGGAGGUAGG
rnacentral:rRNA from 1 species